rnacentral:rRNA from 3 species
CUCAGGAUUAACGCUGGCGGCGUGCCUAAUACAUGCAAGUCGAACGGAAACCUUCGGGUUUUAGUGGCGAACGGGUGAGUAACACGUAAGCAACCUACCCUAAAGACGAGGAUAACCAUUGGAAACAGUGGCUAAGACUGGAUAGGAAGAUAAAAGGCAUCUUUUAUCUUUUAAAAGACCUAGUAAUAGGUAUGCUUUAGGAGGGGCUUGCGCCAUAUUAGUUAGUUGGUAGGGUAAUGGCCUACCAAGACGAUGAUGUGUAGCUGGACUGAGAGGUUGAACAGCCACAUUGGGACUGAGACACGGCCCAAACUCCUACGGGAGGCAGCAGUAGGGAAUUUUCGGCAAUGGAGGAAACUCUGACCGAGCAACGCCGCGUGAAUGACGAAGUACUUCGGUAUGUAAAGUUCUUUUAUCAAGGAAGAAAAGCAAAUGGCGAACCAUUUGUUUGCCGGUACUUGAUGAAUAAGCCCCGGCUAAUUAUGUGCCAGCAGCCGCGGUAAGACAUAAGGGGCAAGUGUUAUCCGGAAUUAUUGGGCGUAAAGGGUGCGUAGGCGGUCUAGUAAGUCAGUGGUGUAAUGGCAACGCUUAACGUUGUCCGGCUAUUGAAACUGCUAAACUUGAGUUAGAUAGAGGCGAGUGGAAUUCCAUGUGUAGCGGUAAAAUGCGUAAAUAUAUGGAGGAACACCAGAGGCGUAGGCGGCUCGCUGGGUCUUAACUGACGCUGAGGCACGAAAGCGUGGGGAGCAAACAGGAUUAGAUACCCUGGUAGUCCACGCCGUAAACGAUGAGUACUAAGUGUCGGGUUAAACCGGUACUGAAGUUAACACAUUAAGUACUCCGCCUGAGUAGUACGUACGCAAGUAUGAAACUUAAAGGAAUUGACGGGACUCCGCACAAGCGGUGGAUCAUGUUGUUUAAUUCGAAGAUACCCGAAAAACCUUACCAGGUCUUGACAUGUUUUUGCAAAAUGAUAGUAAUAUCGUGGAGGUUACCAGAAACACAGGUGGUGCAUGGUUGUCGUCAGCUCGUGUCGUGAGAUGUUAGGUUAAGUCCUAAAACGAGCGAAACCCUUAUCGUUAGUUGCCAGCACGUUAUGGUGGGGACUUUAACGAGACUGCCAAUGAUAAAUUGGAGGAAGGUGAGGAUCACGUCAAAUCAGCAUGCCCCUUAUGACCUGGGCUACAAACGUGAUACAAUGGCUGUUACAAAGGGUAGCUGAAACGCAAGUUCUUGGCCAAUCCCCAAAAACAGUCCCAGUCCGGAUUGAAGUCUGCAACUCGA